GUAGGUGGCAAGCGUUGUCCGGAAUUAUUGGGCGUAAAGCGCGCGCAGGCGGGUUCUUUAAGUCUGAUGUGAAAGCCCACGGGCUCAACCGUGGAGGGUCAUUGGAAACUGGAGAACUUGAGUACAGAAGAGGAAAGCGGAAUUCCACGUGUAGCGGUGAAAUGCGUAGAGAUGUGGAGGAACACCAGUGGCGAAGGCGGCUUUCUGGUCUGUAACUGACGCUGAGGCGCGAAAGCGUGGGGAGCAAACGGGAUUAGAUACCCUGGUAGUCCACGCCGUAAACGAUGAGUGCUAAGUGUUAGGGGGUUUCCGCCCCUUAGUGCUGCAGCUAACGCAUUAAGCACUCCGCCUGGGGAGUACGGCCGCAAGGCUG
rnacentral:rRNA from 1 species